AGGGAGAUAGUUCAAUAGGUAGAAUAAUGGUCUCCAAAGCCAAUGGUUGGGGGUUCAAGUCCCUCUCUUCCUG
rfam:Nannochloropsis gaditana mitochondrion, complete genome.